CACGAAGGGUGCAAGCGUUACUCGGAAUUACUGGGCGUAAAGCGUGCGUAGGUGGUUUGUUAAGUCUGUUGUGAAAGCCCCGGGCUCAACCUGGGAAUGGCAAUGGAUACUGGCAAGCUAGAGUGCGGUAGAGGGUAGUGGAAUUCCCGGUGUAGCGGUGAAAUGCGUAGAGAUCGGGAGGAACACCAGUGGCGAAGGCGGCUACCUGGACCAGCACUGACACUGAGGCACGAAAGCGUGGGGAGCAAACAGG
rnacentral:rRNA from 1 species